GAGCGAUUGUGCAAUUUCCAACGUAACAAGGUCACUGAUAAGGCCCUACGACGGGACAUAAUCAACAUAAACAGGUCACAUUUCAUUGACAUGAUUGAGUAAACGGAACCAUCCCACAUACACAUGAGGAUACAAUUAUUACUUAUGUUCUGACAAACGUAACAACUUAGCCUAAUCGGUGCUGAGGGCAGACAAGUACCAGAAUGACACAUUAACCCAACCACCAAACCCAACCACCAAGAACCAGGGUCAUGUCUUAUUUUCAUCACAACUCCGCGCUCAAAGUUGUUGCGACCUUGUGGCUUUUUGAUCUGUCACCAUGGCC
rnacentral:lncRNA from 1 species